CCCCCCCCUCCUCCAACGUUUCCUCCUCGCCUAAAUUACCGGCCUGUGCUGUGUACACCUAUUUAUAGGAGGGGAGAACACGGAAAACAACAACGCGGCCACCAACAAACCGAACCAACUCUCGCCUCUGGAUGGGAGCAAACCCCUCAUGUCCAGCUCCGAGGAAGAAUUUUCUCCUCCCCAAAGCCCGGAUCAGAACUCGGUCCUGCUCUUGCAGGGGAACCUCAGCCACGCCAGGAGCUCCGGCUACUCCCUGAGCGGCUUAGCCGCAUCCCAGACCCCUCACAGCCUCCAAGGCCACCAGCUCCAGGACUCGCUGCUGGGACCCCUCACAUCCAGCCUGGUGGAUCUGGGAUCCUAAAGGCCCGCGGCGGGCGGCCGGAGGAUCGGGAGAGGAGGUUCUGCUCGGGGACAGAGGCUCUGGGUUGUACAUAGAGGACAGCACCUGGUUUUACAGCUCACCCGCUGAUUCUUGACGGGACUCUCGGCUCUUUCACACAACCCCACAUCGGCUCCUGGUCCAGUUUCCCCCCAGCGUCUCCCACUAUCACCAUGAUUUUUAUUUUUUUUUUUUUUUUUCCACGUAGCCAAACGCAGAGAGCAGCAGAAACCCUCAGCCCUUCGAGUUCAAACGACCUGGUCCCAGCGGAAAUUACAAAAAAAAAAAGAAAAAAAAAAAAGAAAAAAAAAAAAAAAAAAAAAACCCCAACCCCCCAACCAAAACCCAACCAACCCCAGCUGGAUCCGAUUCCACCCAAAUAAAUCCCAGCCCCGCAGGCGCGGUGGGGCAGGGGUGGCCGGGCACAUCCCUGCUGCUGCCCGGCCGGGUCCCCAUGGAGCCGGCAAGGAGCUGGGACGGAGGCAGAGGGAGCGAACCGCUGUACCGAGCCCUGUGUUGUAGAGGGAAGGGAAGUUACGUUUACAUUUUUCAUAUUUAGCCUUACCCGAAAGAUUUCGAUGUAGUUUAAAUUAAAAAAAAAAAAACAAAACCAAAAGGAAAAAAAAAAGGCAAAAGCUGCAGUAUUAGAGUUUUAACAAGUGCCUAUGUCUUAUUGCGGCUGUGCGAGGUGGUUAGCGAGCGAGCUCUCGUGGGCCUGCGCCCCCCGGCUUCCUUCUCCUCCGGGGUGAAAUGCAUCGAUGUGGCUAAAAAUUAGGAUAAUAAGGAUAAAAGUCGACGGCCGUUUCCUCCUGAACGAGUAUUUCUCAGGCUGCCCCGCCAGCUCCACGUUGCCUUCUCCCGUCUGUCCCCGCUCACCGCCUUCCUCCUUCAGCUUGCAGAGAGCCCGCGGACGACGCUGUCUGUCUCGAGUAUUUGUUACCAAAAAUCGCAUGUGCUUUCAGGUUUAUUUUCUAUUGUACCUAAACAGUCUAAAUUAAACAACGCUGAUGGCAGAACA